GUCACCUUACUUCUUCCUUAGGCCUCUUCCUUAAAUGAGGGUAAUACGGCCCCCCCCCCCCCUCCCGGCAGAAUUUACCCUCUAACAGGGGGUAAGCAGGACGCCAGAGAAGUCCUUAGCAAGUAGAUGCAAAGGGAUUUCCCCAGGGAGGGAGGACUGAAAAAGUAGGGCUGGGAGUGGGGCGGGGGAGGGGGGAGCAGCCCUGGGCUGGGGAGAAAGCCGAAGGGUCGGCAGGCUCGAGAUUAGGCCCCACCACGCGCAUUCGCAUUUCCCUUUUCUUCGGAGGCUGCUGGGAGCUGUCCAGUUAGCCCUCCGGCGGCCAGCACUGAUUGUGGGCUUUUCACGUUUUAAAUGGAGAAUUAAGCGAGCUGGGACGCCUCUCUGGGCCCAGGACAAACCAAAAGACUUUCUUCUCUUUCUCUCCAACUCCCGCUCGGAUAACAAACCAGUAGGGCGCCCCUCAGUCGCUGCUCGGGAAUCCCCAGGGACCUCGGGGACCAGGAACAUGGCCGCCUCGGGCAAGCGAGGAGGGAGGAGAGGCCCCCGGCUUCCCCGAGGCCCAGGCCGGGCUUUCUCCCCUGCGGGCACGCUCGGCCCUCCCUCUCGGCCACCCUCGCUCUCCCCAGCUCUGGACAGCUCCUGCUCCUCUGGGCUUCGAUUGUUUCCUACCUGGUUCUUUGCUGGGGCACCGAGAAGCCAACCGCCAUCUGCCAUUGUAGGCUUGUCGCAUGACCCGUCUUCCCUCUGUCUCCCUUUCCGCUGGGCCAUCAGCCUCCAGGGGCUUCAAAAGGGGAGCACCCCCGGACCUUUGGCCCAGCCCAGGUCUGGAUGGAAAUCUCUCUGCCAGCCACCCCAUGGCAUGGCCAGAAAGGACCUCCCAGAUGUCUCUAAUGGGAAGCUCAGCUCCUCCUGGGAGAGCCCAUCCCCCUCCUGGGAGAGCCCAUCCCCCUCCAGGAUAGCCCAUCCCCCUCCUGGGAGAGCCCAUCCCCCUCCCGGGAAAGCCCAUCCCCCUCCAGGAUAGCCCAUCCCCCUCCCAGGAAAGCCCAUCCCCCCUCUGGGAGAGGCCAUCCAUCUUCAGGAGGGGGGUCCCAAGCUAAGGGAAGUUUAACC
rnacentral:lncRNA from 1 species